rnacentral:rRNA from 1 species
ACAUGCAAGUCGAACGAUGAUGGGAGCUUGCUCCUGGAUUAGUGGCGAACGGGUGAGUAACACGUGAGUAACCUGCCCUUAACUCUGGGAUAAGCCUGGGAAACUGGGUCUAAUACCGGAUAUGACUCCUCAUCGCAUGGUGGGGGGUGGAAAGCUUUUUGUGGUUUUGGAUGGACUCGCGGCCUAUCAGCUUGUUGGUGAGGUAAUGGCUUACCAAGGCGACGACGGGUAGCCGGCCUGAGAGGGUGACCGGCCACACUGGGACUGAGACACGGCCCAGACUCCUACGGGAGGCAGCAGUGGGGAAUAUUGCACAAUGGGCGCAAGCCUGAUGCAGCGACGCCGCGUGAGGGAUGACGGCCUUCGGGUUGUAAACCUCUUUCAGUAGGGAAGAAGCGAAAGUGACGGUACCUGCAGAAGAA